UGGGGAUGACGUCAAGUCAUCAUGGCCCUUACGGCUAGGGCUUCACACGUUAUACAAUGGUGCAUACAGAGGGUUGCCAAGCCGCGAGGUGGAGCUAAUCCCAGAAAACUCAUCGUAGUCCGGAUCGUAGUCUGCAACUCGACUGCGUGAAGUUGGAAUCGCUAGUAAUCGCGGAUCAG
rnacentral:rRNA from 1 species